rnacentral:tRNA from 1 species
GGAGAUAAAGCUCAGUGGUAUAUUGUGUGCUUGGCAUGCAUGAGGUCCUGGGUUCAAUCCCCAGUGCCUCCA